rnacentral:rRNA from 1 species
CGUAGAUAUUAGAAAGAAUACCAAUUGCGAAGGCAGCUUUCUGGAUCAUUACUGACACUGAGGAACGAAAGCAUGGGUAGCGAAGAGGAUUAGAUACCCUCGUAGUCCAUGCCGUAAACGAUGUGUGUUAGACGUUGGAAAUUUAUUUUCAGUGUCGCAGCGAAAGCGAUAAACACACCGCCUGGGGAGUACGACCGCAAGGUUAAAACUCAAAUGAAUUGACGGGGACCCGCACAAGUAGUGGAGCAUGUGGUUUAAUUCGAAGAUACGCGCAGAACCUUACCAACACUUGACAUGUUCGUCGCGACUCUAAGAGAUUAGAGUUUUCGGUUCGGCCGGACGAAACACAGGUGCUGCAUGGCUGUCGUCAGCUCGUGUCGUGAGAUGUUGGGUUAAGUCCCGCAACGAGCGCAACCCUCACUUUUAGUUGCCAUCAUUUAGUUGGGCACUCUGAAAGAACUGCCAGUGAUAAGCUGGAGGAAGGUGGGGAUGACGUCAAGUCCUCAUGGCCCUUACGUGUUGGGCUACACACGUGCUACAAUGGUAUCUACAACAGGAAGCAAGACGGCGACGUUAAGCAAAUCCUUAAAAGAUACCUCAGUUCGGAUUGCACUCUGCAACUCGAGUGCAUGAAGCUGGAAUUACUAGUAAUCGUGGAUCAGCGUGGCACGGUGAAUGCGUUCCCGGGUCUUGUACACACCGCCCGUCACACCAUGGGAGUUGGUUCUACCUUAAGGCAAGGUUUCAAACCCUUGACCACGGUAUAGUCAGCGACUGGGGUGAAGUCGUAACAAGGUAACC